UACACGACUCUCGACAAUGGAUAUCUCGGCUCUUGCAUCGAUGAAGAGCGCAGCGAAAUGCGAUACGUGGUGCGAAUUGCAGAAUCCCGCGAAC
rnacentral:rRNA from 1 species